UGCUCUCAGUCUGAAUAAAUUCCUUUUCUUUGAGUUCUUCCCAGUAAUCAGCUUUUAUAUUGCAAGCAGCAGGCUCGAGCUUUGUUUAUUCCUUUAUUUUGAGAAUUCUGCAAUAGAAAAGGCAGAUGAUGAUUUAUUCCCAUGGCACAUCUGAGCUCUGGAAACAAACUGGGCUUGAACUUGUCUGAAUUACCCACUAUGCACUUCAUGAAAAAUAAUACCAGCACAGUUAUCAAAUCAAUCAAAAAAUUAAAGAGGAAGAGCUGAUCAUAGCCAUAUGUUGCUCGGGAAAGAAAGCGUCAACAGUUGAGCAGUGUAACCAAUCUGUGAACCAAAUUUGUAGUCUUUCUGAGAGCUAUUUGAUGAAAGAGAU
rnacentral:lncRNA from 1 species